ACGUAGGAGGCAAGCGUUGUCCGGAAUUACUGGGUGUAAAGGGCGCGCAGGCGGCGUGGCAAGUCUGCUGUGAAAACCACCGGCUCAACCCAGGAACUGCAGUUGAAACUGCUUGUCUUGAGUGCAGUAGAGGUAGGUGGAAUUCCGAGUGUAGCGGUGAAAUGCGUAGAUAUUCGGAGGAACACCAGUGGCGAAGGCGGCCUACUGGGCUCGACCUGACGCUGAGGCUCGAAAGCGUGGGGAGCAAACAG
rnacentral:rRNA from 1 species